GUGAGGAAUAUUGGACAAUGGGCGCAAGCCUGAUCCAGCCAUGCCGCGUGCAGGAAGACGCAUCUAUGGUGUGUAAACUGCUUUUGUACGGGAAGAAACACUCCCUCGUGAGGGAGCUUGACGGUACCGUAAGAAUAAGGAUCGGCUAACUCCGUGCCAGCAGCCGCGGUAAUACGGAGGAUCCAAGCGUUAUCCGGAAUCAUUGGGUUUAAAGGGUCCGUAGGCGGUUUAAUAAGUCAGUGGUGAAAGCCCAUCGCUCAACGAUGGAACGGCCAUUGAUACUGUUAGACUUGAAUUACAAGGAAGUAACUAGAAUAUGUAGUGUAGCGGUGAAAUGCUUAGAUAUUACAUGGAAUACCAAUUGCGAAGGCAGGUUACUACUUGUGGAUUGACGCUGAUGAACGAAAGCGUGGGGAGCGAACAGGAUUAGAAACCCUGGUAGUCC
rnacentral:rRNA from 1 species